ACUGUAAAUAGUAGUUGUAUCAACUACAGCUAAGGAGAAAAGAGACCUGAAAAUAGAUCGUGAUGUAGUAAAUGAUUUAACUACAAGUAUUUUAGCAUUCUUAAGAGAUUGUCGAAUAUUAGCAAAUCUCUCAUGGCUUUCUUCGAAAUGUUUCUGAGAUAACUUAGAAGUAACGUUACGCAAUUGGACAUGGAACCAGAAUGUAGAACCUUCUCCAUAAACAGACUGAACACCGAUGUCUCCAUCCAUUAUUUUGCAUAUUUGAAGGCAAAUAGAGAGCCCAAGGCCUGAACCUCCAUAGAUUCUAGUAGUGCUACCAUCGACUUGA